AAGGAAGAGAAAUUAUGUGCAUAGGAUGCUAUAUAUCGUAUAUAACUUUCAUUUCAAAACAAUAAAGAGGGCCUUGGAAAAUAUUUGCUAUAAAAGGGAGAAGCAAAGUACCUAAUACAGUUAUAAACCGCUGCCCUAGCCAAAUGCUGGUUUGUUUUUACUAUAAACUCUGAACCUCUAUGUCAUAUUUUACCACUCAUGAGGCACUGCACAUAUUGUCUGGGUUGCAAAUUUUUAAUGUACUUAUAGUAUCUCCCCUAGACUGUAAGUUUCUUGAAGGUUCUGGAUUCUCCACAAGGCACAGCGCCUUGGGUAAAGUAAACACUCACUAAUUUGAUGAAUGAACAAAUUGUACUAUUAAAUUUGAUGCUUAAAUUCUUAGAGAAGCAGGUUUAGUGAAGAACAACAGAUAAUAGCUCCUCCACUUUCUUGGAGUUUAUCAGGCACUCUUAGGAAUACAGCAUCUGAAAUGUCAGGAGAAUGUCCACUCCUGGAUGCAAACGUUCAACUUAAUAGUUUUGACCUAUAGUUAUUUAAGCUUAAGAUACUCUAAUAAGAAUCCCAAGGAAUCUCAAUAUCUCCAUUUAUGUAACAAAAACUGUUAAAAUGUAUUAAGUACCUACUAUGAGCCAGAUGCUUUGUAUUAUCUUGAACAAAGAAAUUAUUUUGGUCCCUGUAUUGCCAAUAAGGGAACUGCAACUUAGUGAGGUUAAGAAUCUUUUCCAUGGCUAUACUGUUACCAUGGAAGGACAGGUAUUUGACUUCAGAUGGUUUUAUGCUGAACUAGUAGCCUCUUUCAACUGUGUUAUGCCACCUGGGGACCUAUUUAUGUCUUCAUUCAGUUUUUUAUUUCCUUGUUGCUGUUUUUGUUGCUGUUGUUGUUUUUAAGGGUACUUUACAGAUAAAAGGCAAGGUCUGCAGGGUUCCAUUUGCUGAGGCUAGAGAAGAAUAAAAUCAUUUCUAUAGUCACAGAAAAGGCAAAGAACCCCUCUAUGCACAGAAGUCCAGAGAUAAGAGGUGAGAGGUGGUAGAAAGAGGGUCAGUUCUAUCAUCAUCAAUAGACACAAAGGAACAAAAAAAUCAAGCUGGACUCUAGAGGAAGCAAGGAAUCUGAGCCUCUCAAUCUGGCCAUCCUGCAGAAAAUGGCCUGGAAUGGACGGGAAACAGAAAUAAUAACUUGGCAAAUGGUUUUGCAGACGGUUUUCCUUUAUUAAGGAAAAUGUUAAAUCAGAGCUAAGGUUGAAACACUUAUAAAUAAAGUGUUUACUAAGAGGAA